rnacentral:ncRNA from 1 species
GGAUAGCUGGAGCCCAUUACGAGUUCUAUCAGGUAAAGCCAAUGAUUAGAGGCAUUGGGGACGCAACGUCCUCGACCUAUUCUCAAACUUUAAAUAGGUAGGAUGGCUCGGCUGCUCGGGUGAGCCGUGCCACGGAAUCGGGUGCUCCAAGUGGGCCAUUUUUGGUAAGCAGAACUGGCGAUGCGGGAUGAACCGGAAGCCGGG